UACAGAGGUCUCAAGCGUUGUUCGGAUUCAUUGGGCGUAAAGGGCGCGCAGGCGGCGCAUUUUGUCAGGCGUGAAAGCCCCGGGCUUAACCUGGGAACUGCGUUUGAUACGGAUGGGCUAGAGUUCGGGAGAGGAGAGUGGAAUUCCCAGUGUAGAGGUGAAAUUCGUAGAUAUUGGGAAGAACACCGGUGGCGAAGGCGGCUCUCUGGACCGAGACUGACGCUGAGGCGCGAAAGCGUGGGGAGCAAACAGG
rnacentral:rRNA from 1 species